GUGCUCACUUCAGCAGCACAUAAACUAAAACUGGAAUGAUACAGAGAAGAUUAGCAUGUCCCCUGCACAAGAAUAAUACACAAAUUUGUGAAGGAUUCCAUAAUUUU